rnacentral:SRP_RNA from 1 species
GCUGGGCAUGGCGGUGUGUGCCUGUAAUCCCAGCUACUCGGGAGGCUGAGGCAGGAGAAUCACUUGAACCCAGAAGGCGGAGGUUGCAGUGAGCUGAAAUUGCACCACUGCACUCCAGCCUGGGUGACAGAGUGAGACUCUGCCUUUA